rnacentral:rRNA from 1 species
GACGAACCGUGCGAACGUUGUUCGGAAUCACUGGGCUUAAAGGGCGCGUAGGCGGGCGACCAAGUCAGGGGUGAAAUCCCCGGGCUCAACCCGGGAACUGCGUCCGAUACUGGAAGGCUUGAAUCCGGGAGAGGGAUGCGGAAUUCCAGGUGUAGCGGUGAAAUGCGUAGAUAUCUGGAGGAACACCGGUGGCGAAGGCGGCAUCCUGGACCGGCAUUGACGCUGAGGCGCGAAAGCCAGGGGAGCAAACGGG